rnacentral:rRNA from 1 species
AGGACGAACGCUGGCGGCGUGCCUAACACAUGCAAGUCGAGCGAGGAGAUUCCUCGGGAUGAUCCUAGCGGCGGACGGGUGAGUAACACGUGGGCAACCUGCCUCAUAGAGAGGAAUAGCCUUCCGAAAGGGAGAUUAAUACCUCAUAACAUUGCAGUUUCGCAUGGAACAGCAAUUAAAGGAGCAAUCCGCUAUGAGAUGGGCCCGCGGCGCACUAGCUAGUUGGUGAGGUAACGGCUCACCAAGGCGACGAUGCGUAGCCGACCUGAGAGGGUGAUCGGCCACAUUGGGACUGAGACACGGCCCAGACUCCUACGGGAGGCAGCAGUGGGGAAUAUUGCACAAUGGGGGAAACCCUGAUGCAGCCAACGCCGCGUGAGUGAUGACGGCCUUCGGGUUGUAAAGCUCUGUCUUCAGGGACGAUAAUGACGGUACCUGAGGAGGAAGCCACGGCUAACUACGUGCCAGCAGCUGC